GCACUGCUGAGGAGUCCCACAAUAGGACAAAACAGCCGUCUAGUGC
rnacentral:hammerhead_ribozyme from 1 species